rnacentral:rRNA from 1 species
CGGGGGGAGCAAGCGUUGUUCGGAUUCAUUGGGCGUAAAGGGCGCGUAGGCGGCUUGGCAAGUCCGACGUGAAAUGUACCGGUUCAACCGGGGCACCGUGUCGGAAACUGCCUGGCUUGAGGCCGAGGGAGGAUGGUGGAAUUCCUGGCGUAGCGGUGAAAUGCGUAGAUAUCAGGAGGAACACCCGUGGCGAAGGCGGCCAUCUAUCUCGGAUCUGACGCUGAUGCGCGAAAGCUGGGGGAGCAAACGGGAUUAGAUACCCCGGUAGUCCCAGCCGUAAACGAUGGGCACUAGGUGUGGGAGGUAUCGACCCCUUCCGUGCCGCAGCUAACGCAUUAAGUGCCCCGCCUGGGGAGUACGGCCGCAAGGUUG